UCCAGACUCCUACGGGAGGCAGCAGUGAGGAAUAUUGGUCAAUGGUCGGGAGACUGAACCAGCCAAGCCGCGUGAGGGAUGAAGGUACAGAGUAUCGUAAACCUCUUUUGUCAGGGAACAAAGGCGGGGACGCGUCCCCGGAUGAGUGUACCUGAAGAAAAAGCAUCGGCUAACUCCGUGCCAGCAGCCGCGGUAAUACGGAGGAUGCGAGCGUUAUCCGGAUUUAUUGGGUUUAAAGGGUGCGUAGGCGGAUUUUUAAGUCAGCGGUAAAAUGUCCGGGCUCAACCCGGGCCGGCCGUUGAAACUGGGGAUCUUGAGUGGGCGAGAAGUAUGCGGAAUGCGUGGUGUAGCGGUGAAAUGCAUAGAUAUCACGCAGAACUCCGAUUGCGAAGGCAGCAUACCGGCUCCAUACUGACGCUGAGGCACGAAAGCGUGGGGAUCGAACAGGAUUAGAUACCCGCGUA
rnacentral:rRNA from 1 species